GAUCCUGGCUCAGGAUGAACGCUAGCGGCAGGCCUAACACAUGCAAGUCGAGGGGCAUCGGGAUUGAAGCUUGCUUCAAUUGCCGGCGACCGGCGCACGGGUGCGUAACGCGUAUGUAACCUACCUAUAACAGGGGCAUAACACUGAGAAAUUGGUACUAAUUCCCCAUAAUAUUCGGAGGGUCGAUCUCUCCGGUUCGGUAAACUAACCGGUCGGGUUAGUUAGAUGGACGAUGCGUUGGUUAUUAGUACUA
rnacentral:rRNA from 1 species